GUGCUAACUUCAGCAGCACAGAUAGUAAAAUUAGAGAAGAUUGGCAUGGCCCCUGUGCAACGAUGACAUGCAAAUUUAUGAAUCUUUCCGUAUUUUU
rnacentral:snRNA from 1 species